rnacentral:tRNA from 1 species
ACCUAUAUAGCUUAUCCCAAAGCACAGCGCUGAAAACGCUAAGAUAGACCCUAAAAAGUCUUAUAAGCA